UCCUGAUGUGAAAGUAAGUGAAUAUUUUUGUACAAGUGCCACUUGGUUUGAUAUUUUGUUAAUGCCAUUCAUACAUUUUUAAGUGGCUAAAAUGUCCAAAUUCUUUUUGAGCAUUCAAACAGUGAGAUGUUUUUCAAGUGCAAACUGCUUUUAUUAACUUUUAUUAACAGUGGAAACAUCAUUACUUGGGACAGUAGCUGAAGGGUGUGUCUCUCAAGAGGAUGAAGGAAUGAGAGAUUUAAAGGACCUCAGAGGCAUCGCAGUUCUCAGGGUGUCCUGUUUCGGGAGGAUGUCAUUAAAAACACUCUCUUCCUGUCUCAUCUGUCCAAGCUCUUUAAAUAUGCUGUCACACUCCCUCUCAAAAGAAUGACAUAGAUAUACUAUACUAGUCUGAGUGUUAUUAAAUGUUGAAGGCUUGUAGGUGAGGUCGUUUCCGUUUGACUUUUGUUUGACUCCACUGAACAAAUGAGAAAUUUGAAAUGCAGUUAGUAGUCUUUAACUACACUAUAGUUCAAAAAGUUACUGGCCAGUGAUUUUUUUUUUUUAAUAGUUUUAUUCAUUAAGGACAAUAAAGUUGAGUUUCUAAAUCAGCAUAUUAGAAUGAUUUCUGAAGGAUUUUGGCGCAGUGAAGACUAGCGUAAUGACUGCUGAAAAUUCAGCUUUGUCAUCACAGGAAUAAAUUACAUUUUAAAAUAUAUUAAAAUAGAAAAUAGUUAUUUUAAAUUGUAAUAAUAUUUCACAAUAUUACUGAUUUUAUUGUAUUUUUAAUCAAUAAAUGCAGCCUCGGUAAGCAUAAGAGAGUAGUUUCAAAAACAUUAAUAAAUCUAAUCCUAAACUUUUAAAUGCCUGAGUAUAGUACAUAAAUAUGCAAGUUACAAAAGUCAAGUAAUAUUUUUGUCCACACUGCAGAAACACACCCCUGUCUUCCAUUGUACAGACAAACAGGUAAUCCCAUCCCAUGCUGUUAUUUCGCGAAAACGUUGGGACACUCAUAGAAAAUAUUGCAAUAGAAAUUAUACACCUGGAAAACCGAGACUUAUCAGAAAUUCCAAAAGUGCGACUGGAAAAGUCAUGGAAAUUUAUAAAAUCUUAAAAGGUUAUGGAAAAGUCAUGGACAUUUCUAUAGUCUACUGUAUAUAUAUUUUUUCUUAGGCUAGAAAUUACUCUUUGUGACUGCAAUAAUUUUAAAAAGCUUUUAUUAGUCAUCUCAAAUGACUGGAAAAGUCAUGGAAAUGUCUAUACUCUAUAUAAUUUUUUUUCUAACUGUUUUAGACUUUGUAAGUAUGAUCUCUGGAAAAUGAUUUCUAAAAAUCCAUGACUAAGAAACGACUGGAAAAAUCUUGGAAAUUCACUGGUCAGAAAAUGUGGAAACCUUGCAACUAAAGUAAGCAGAAAUCAGUCUUAGUGUUUAAUCCUUCCCUUUGGUAUCGUCCCGCUUGCUCUGUUGCUCAGCAAAUACAGCACCUUUUUCACAUUAUUCCGAGCCUAAUCGAUGCCCCAUAAAUGCAUAAUUUUUCACGAACAAGAAAGCAAAACAAGCAAAGAAGUGCUUCUCCUCCAUCACUUAGACACUGCGUUCUGUCAAAGUUCCUCCAGACUGUUUAAUGGCGAGUCAGGGCUGGUUCCAUUAGCAAUUAGAAGUGUUCAGUUUGGGACUCAUUAAAUUACUGGACCUCGUCAGAGGAGUCUGUGGUUACAGUAUCCAUCACAGGCCGUUCAGAGGCCUACACUCUAUCUUUAUGCAAAAGAGCCAAGCUCUGCCAGCGGGCUUCAUUCGUCAGCACUCCGGUGCCAGAGCGGGUCACUCUCUCCUGAUGAAUGAUUCGUCUGCGUGCCGUAACAACUAAUUGUGAAUUAUGUGCAAAAGAACAUCUACUGGAUCAGUUCAGUGAAAAGUGGGCAGGGAAUUAUGAGACUUUAAAUCACAGCAGGGAUCAUCUUUUGAGACGUAUGCGGAAUACUUAAGAACAAAGGAAAGAAUGUUGGAACAUCCCAACCUGCUAAUUUUGUGUCAUAAAUCUACAGCUAUUGUGAGACUGUGGCCACCUGAGAGUUUUCACCGCAAGAAUAAGGAUUAAUACAGAGCGUCUAGCAUUCACAUGUGAGAGCUUGCAGGUCUGGCAGAAGUGCACAAGAAGAAAGAAUGGGUUAAACUGGGCUGACACACACACACACAUACACACACACAUGUUUGUUUUUGUGAAAAGUGGGGACAUCCCAUAGGCGUAAUGGUUUUUAUACUGUACAAACUGUAUGUGCUAUUGCCCUACACCUAACCCUACCGCUUACAGGAAACUUUGUGCUAUUUCAGAUUUUCAAUACAUUCUGUGUGAUUUAUAAGCGUUUUGAAAAGUGGGGACAUGGGGUAAUGUCCUGAAAAGUCACUUUCUCCUUGUAAUACCCUUGCCAUUAUACAAAUUGAUGUCCUCAUUUGUCACAAACACACACACACACACACACACACAAUUACAUUUUUCUCUCCCCCCUCUCUCUGUCUUGUUUUCUGUCUGAUUCACAGUGGCAUAGGGACACCACAGGACUGGCAUGGUUUGUACUGCUGGCACGGGUCACAUGGAAAGAUAACACACACACAUUACACACAGCAGCUCUCAGGACACCCACAGCGUUAAAGACCUAACAAUAGGAACCACAUCAACACUAGUGCAAACGUAUAAUUUAAUAGAGCUCUUGUAAUAUUUCAAAUGUGAACAAAGUAUGCCAAAAACGCAAGAAAAGACUUAUGACAUUUAAGACUUUUUUUUUUUAAGGCCUUUGUGCUGGAUUCAUGAAUGGAAUAAGUGCUUAUAAUGGGUUUGCAUUUCAUUUUCAGUAGAUAAUAUAGUUGAUAAAUAAUAAAUGUGACUAAUUACUAUUAUCACGCUGGGAAAGUGUUGAUUUUUGCUAAUUUAAACAAUUUUAACAGUUAUUUCAGAAUGGAAAAGGAACUACGGUUUGUCUCUCUCUCAUGUCUGUCUUAGGGUGGAAAAUUGCUGUCUCCCGUUCCUGUGAUAAAGCUGUUGCCUGUGCGCUGGGAAAGUGAAAUCCAUCAUGCGACGGAGAGGGUUUAUUCCACCAUUCCGCCCCAUUGAGGCCCGUAACACGCUGGUCUCGAGAGUGACGUGGAUGCAGCUUUUAGACGUGAACUUUGCCACUGCACUAUAAACCACAGGCUGCGUCUGCCAGUGUGAAGCGAACACCAUGUUCUGUGUACAAGAAACGGGGUCUGUGCCAUGCAUCGCUCAAGAACAUUCCCCUUAUUCCAACGGAGUUCACACUACCCUCUGCCAAAUGGCCAGCUAGCCUCUCCACAGGUCCUCCAAAACCUUCUCUACAACACCUGUGAUGAGAGAUGCGUCUUCUAGCUCCAAACAGAUGCGUGUUUUAGAGCCUUCCCACUUAAACACAAACCAGCUUUACAAGUCAAACUCUGUUGCUUUGAAUACUAUUAAUGUUCAGAGACAUUUGGAGCUUUUGCUAACUAGUUAUUUGCACAAUGCAAACUUCAGCUUAGGAUAGUUUAAGGAGAAAAAUGAGAAGUCCUAAAGAAAUUUCUUCAGAUGUGAGGCCUAGGAUAUUUUCCACAUUUUCUAGCUUGAAUUUUAAAGAGGUUUUAAUGUAGUUUGAGUGGCUACGCUUUGAUAUGCGUUCCUCGAAUCCACUUGAGAGAAGCCCUCACCGCAGGGGCUACCAAGGGGGAAGAGUGCAAAGAAACAUAAGCGCACAGGCUCUCCAGAUGUGUAAUUACUUAAUUUCCUUGCAUAUAAAACAAUGCUAUAAUUAAAAGGAAGUAUGCAAUUUACCACAAGUAAAGUGGCCCAAAUAAUGUAUGAACAAAACUAAUUCAGUGUGUAUGACUAUUAGUGCAAUACCAAAAACAAAAUAAUAUUUCAAAGAUGUUGUAUCACAACUUUAUUUGGAGAUGUUCCACGCUUUGAAUGUGGUGUAAUUGUUCAUAUGGUUUUGGGCCCUGCAUUAGUUGUCAGUACAUUGUAAAGCUUAAUAAAUGUACUACCGUGCAAAAAAAUAAAAUAUUUAUUUAGAAAGGA